rnacentral:rRNA from 1 species
AACGAACGCUGGCGGCAUGCCUAACAUCUGCAAGUCGAACGAGACCUUCGGGUCUAGUGGCGCACGGGUGCGUAACGCGUGGGAACCUGCCCUUAGGUUCGCAAUAACUCCCCGAAAGGGGUGCUAAUACCGGAUAAUGUCUUCGGACCAAAGAUUUAUCGCCGUUGGAUGGGCCCGCGUUGGAGUAGCUAGUGGGUAGGGUAAAAGCCUACCCAGGCGACGAUCCAUAGCUGGUCUGAGAGGAUGAUCAGCCACACGGGGACUGAGACACGGCCCAGACUCCUACGGGAGGCAGCAGUGGGGAAUACUGGACAAUGGGCGAAAGCCUGAGCCAGCAAGGUCGGGUGAGUGAUGAAGGCCUUAGGGUUGUAAAGCUCCUUUACCCGGGAUGAUAAUGACCGUACCGGGAGAAUAAGCACCGGCUAACUCCGUG